rnacentral:rRNA from 1 species
UACGGGGGGGGCAAGCGUUGUUCGGAAUUACUGGGCGUAAAGGGCUCGUAGGUGGCCAACUAAGUCGGACGUGAAAUCCCUCAGCUUAACUGGGGAACUGCGUCCGAUACUGGAUGGCUUGAGUUUGGGAGAGGGAUGCGGAAUUCCAGGUGUAGCGGUGAAAUGCGUAGAUAUCUGGAGGAACACCGGUGGCGAAGGCGGCAUUCUGGACCACAACUGACACUGAGAGACGAAAGCCAGGGGAGCAAACGGA